AAAUGAAAAUAAACAAUCACACGAAUUCGAUUUCCGCGUAAAAGUGAAAGAUGGGAUGUUUAAACACAGAUGACACUUUUAUCAGUCCGUGUGUAAAAUACACAUUAUUUUUCUGGAAUUUCUUAUGUUGGGUAAGUUACUUCUCGCUGCUUGAAGUCUUCUAUAAUUUAUAGAACUGAGAAACACACUCUGACUAGUAACAGACUAACCCCCCUUUUCUGUUGAACAUUUAACAGUUAAGUCUUGGAAAUUAGAUGAAUACACUAGGGCUCUUUGAUGUUUAUGGUUUGAUACUUGUAAUAUUUUUUUAUUAUUCCAGGACAGAAAAAUAUGUUAAACUUCAAUGACAAUGUGAAAUAUAGUAGUGCUUCGUUCCACCCAGGCCUUCCAUACAUAAACCAAUGUAAUUUGAAAGAUGUAAUUAGGUGCCA
rnacentral:lncRNA from 1 species